UUCCGUUGCAACCCAUGUCAAUGUACUAACCGACAGCUGAAAAUUAGAGAAGGGCCAAAUAAGGAAAAGGGAAAAAAUACCCCUACUGAAUAUGCAUCAAACAUAGUGGUGUCAGCGUAUCAUAUUAUAAAAGUUGCAUCCCAAGCUAGGGGCAAUGGAAGAAGGAGAUGUAGUCCUUGGGAGAUGCCAGAAUGAUGGCAACUGAUGAUGAGGGGGAAGGUGAUGGUGAUGAGGCAGAUGAUGGCUAACAUUUCAAGUUGUUCUUCAAGGGAUGGAGAGCAAUUGUUGGAAUCCUUCACUCUUUAGUACAGGAACCUGAAGUGCUUCAUGUACUCACGGCACUGAGAAGGAGUCCUCCAGAAUCCAUUAAAUCUCCUGGUACAGGUGGGUUUACGGCAGUCCUAUCCAAGAAUGUUGCCAUCUUUUCUCUGAGGAUCAUUCUAUAUGACAGAUUAAUAUUUCAAGAGGUACAAGAGU